UGCGGAAUUUUAGAUAAUGGAGGGAACUCUGAUCUAGCGACGCCGCGUGCAGGAAGAAGGUCUUCGGAUUGUAAACUGCUGUGGUAAGGGAAAAAUGCUAUGUGGAGUGGAAAGCUACAUAGAGGGAUGGUACCUAACUAGAAAGCCCCGGCUAACUACGUGCCAGCAGCCGCGGUAAUACGUAGGGGGCGAGCGUUACCCGGAAUCACUGGGCGUAAAGGGAGCGUAGGUGGCCUAACAUGUCAACUGUGAAACCCGGAGCUCAACUCCGGACUUGCAGUUGAAACUGGUAGGCUUGAGGACGGUAGAGGAAGACGGAACUGCCAGUGUAGGGGUAAAAUCCUUAGAUAUUGGCAGGAACGCCGGUGACGAAGGUGGUUUUCUGGGCCGGUUCUGACACUGAUGCUCGAAAGCCAGGGGAGCGAACGG
rnacentral:rRNA from 1 species